rnacentral:rRNA from 1 species
UACGGAGGGUGCAAGCGUUAUCCGGAAUCAUUGGGUUUAAAGGGUCCGUAGGUUGUUAAUUAAGUCAGAGGUGAAAGGGUGCAGCUUAACUGUAGCAUUGCCUUUGAUACUGGUUAACUUGAGUUGUUGUGAAGUAGUUAGAAUGUGUAGUGUAGCGGUGAAAUGCAUAGAUAUUACACAGAAUACCGAUUGCGAAGGCAGUCUACUACGUAUGUACUGACGCUGAGGGACGAAAGCGUGGGGAGCGAACAGG